GUCUCUGUAGCUCAGGGGAUAGAGCGACCGCCUCCUAAGCGGUAGGUCGGAGGUUCGAUUCCUCUCAGGGACG
rnacentral:tRNA from 1 species